rnacentral:rRNA from 1 species
UACGUAGGGCGCAAGCGUUGUCCGGAAUUAUUGGGCGUAAAGAGCUCGUAGGCGGUUUGUCGCGUCUGCUGUGAAAACCUAAGGCUCAACCUCGGGCCUGCAGUGGGUACGGGCAGACUAGAGUGCGGUAGGGGAGAUUGGAAUUCCUGGUGUAGCGGUGGAAUGCGCAGAUAUCAGGAGGAACACCGAUGGCGAAGGCAGAUCUCUGGGCCGUAACUGACGCUGAGGAGCGAAAAGCGUGGGGAGCGAACGGG